rnacentral:lncRNA from 1 species
AGUUAAGACAAUGAUGUUACAGUGCUUCCUAUCAAAGAAAACUGAGGUUACUAAUUAUUUGUAUCUUGUUGCAGAAAAAUUGGACCAGGCUUUCUGAAGAGACAAUCUGCCUCAACCAGGUAAUCAAGUUGAAAAAUACUGCACACAGUGACCCACUCUCAGAAACUUGCAAUGGGCAUGAACUUAUUAAAGACUCUGAUGAGAGACACCGAAGAAGAUCCAUUUUAACUAACCCUUGACAGAAGGAUGCAAAGUAAAUGAAGAAAUGA